UACGGAGGGUGCGAGCGUUAAUCGGAAUUACUGGGCGUAAAGAGUGCGUAGGUGGUUAAUUAAGUUAUCUGUGAAAUCCCUGGGCUUAACCUGGGCAGGUCAGAUGAUACUGAUGGACUCGAGUAUGGGAGAGGGUAGUGGAAUUUCCGGUGUAGCGGUGAAAUGCGUAGAGAUCGGAAGGAACACCAGUGGCGAAGGCGGCUACCUGGCCUAAUACUGACACUGAGGCACGGAAAGCGUGGGGAGCAAACAGG
rnacentral:rRNA from 1 species